CGUGUGCCCUCCAGACUAUGCCAUGCCUGGGAGGCGCAUGGUGGGAGGGGGGUCUCUCUGAUGUCUCCAAAGUGCAGCAUCUAGUGGGCUCCUAACACGUCUUUCUCUGGUGGGCAAACGAAAGAAAAUCGCUCAUGAGGAAGAGAAAACUUGAACCCAGACACACACUGGGGGAAGACCUUGUGAAGAUGCAGGAGGAAGGUGACCACCCACAAGCCGAGAAGGGAGGCCUCAGAAGAAACCAAACAUGCCGACACCCUGAUCUCAGGCUUCUAGCCUCCAAAACUGUGAAGAGGUACGCUUCUGUCAUUUAAGCCACUCAAUCUGUGAUACUCUUUUAGGGCAGUCCAAGCACAUAGCCUCUGCGUGGUCCCGCACACAGUGGGCUGCUCAGCGGUCAGGGAGCACAGUAGGGCUUCACUCCAGUAGGACGUUUCAGGCUUGAACCCCGGCUCUGCUGAUUAUUAGCUCCUUCAAGUCACUUGACCUCGAGCAAGUUCCUAGUGUCUCUCUGCCUCUAUUUCCCAUCUAUGAAGCAAUAAAGCGCCUGCCUCAUAGGG